UGGGGAAUUUUGGACAAUGGGGGCAACCCUGAUCCAGCAAUGCCGCGUGUGUGAAGAAGGCCUUCGGGUUGUAAAGCACUUUUGUCCGGGAAGAAAUCGCACCUGAUAAUACCGGGUGUGGAUGACGGUACCGGAAGAAUAAGGACCGGCUAACUACGUGCCAGCAGCCGCGGUAAUACGUAGGGUCCAAGCGUUAAUCGGAAUUACUGUGCGUAAAGCGUGCGCAGGCGGUUGUGCAAGACCGAUGUGAAAUCCCCGGGCUUAACCUGGGAAUUGCAUUGGUGACUGCACGGCUAGAGUGUGUCAGAGGGGGGUAGAAUUCCACGUGUAGCAGUGAAAUGCGUAGAGAUGUGGAGGAAUACCGAUGGCGAAGGCAGCCCCCUGGGAUAACACUGACGCUCAUGCACGAAAGCGUGGGGAGCAAACAGG
rnacentral:rRNA from 1 species